AACAUUUGAUCACGUUUUCCAGUAGCCGUAGCUAUUAUAUUACACGUGUACUUAUCAGGUUACGAGUUUCUUGCGAAAGUCACAUGCUAUCGUUGUACAACGAGUUUACAUUUUCGCUAUUUAAGAGCAAGCUAUCUUGCCAUUGUCGCUAUCAUUAGGUUAUAUGCUAUCAAGCUAGGAGCUAAACCAAAUUCGAACCACAUCACAUCAAAUUGUAUCACGCUAUUGUUGUGCUUUAAAGCCAUCACUACAUAUCUUCGCUACCGUCGAUUAUCGUAAGAAUAAAUUUGUAAGUUGGUUGGAAAA